rnacentral:rRNA from 1 species
UGCCGCGUGCAGGAAGACUGCCCUAUGGGUUGUAAACUGCUUUUAUACAGGAAGAAACCUUUCCACGUGUGGGGAGCUGACGGUACUGUAAGAAUAAGGAUCGGCUAACUCCGUGCCGGCAGCCGCGGUAAUACGGAGGAUCCAAGCGUUAUCCGGAAUCAUUGGGUUUAAAGGGUCCGUAGGUGGAUAAUUAAGUCAGAGGUGAAAGUUUGCGGCUCAACCGUAAAAUUGCCUUUGAUACUGGUUAUCUUGAAUCAUUGUGAAGUGGUUAGAAUAUGUAGUGUAGCGGUGAAAUGCAUAGAUAUUACAUAGAAUACCAAUUGCGAAGGCAGAUCACUAACAAUGUAUUGACACUGAUGGACGAAAGCGUGGGGAGCGAACGGGAUUAGAUACCCCGGUAGUCCACGCCGUAAACGAUGGUCACUAGCUGUUCGGACUUCGGUCUGAGUGGCUAAGCGAAAGUGAUAAGUGACCCACCUGGGGAGUACGUUCGCAAGAAUGAAACUCAAAGGAAUUGACGGGGGCCCGCACAAGCGGUGGAGCAUGUGGUUUAAUUCGAUGAUACGCGAGGAACCUUACCAGGGCUUAAAUGUAGAUUGCAUUAGCUAGAGAUAGCUAUUUCUUCGGACUAUCUACAAGGUGCUGCAUGGUUGUCGUCAGCUCGUGCCGUGAGGUGUCAGGUUAAGUCCUAUAACGAGCGCAACCCCUGUUGUUAGUUGCCAGCGAGUCAAGUCGGGAACUCUAACAAGACUGCCAGUGCAAACUGUGAGGAAGGUGGGGAUGACGUCAAAUCAUCACGGCC